GGCCGUGUAGCUCAAUGGCAGAGCGUCUGACUACGAUUGACGACAAGUUGAUUUCAUGUAAUCAGAAGGUCGCAGGUUCGACCCCUGUCUCGGUCA
rnacentral:tRNA from 2 species